GUGAAUCAUCGAAUUUUUGAACGCAAAUUGCGCUCCCUGCCAACCCGGGAAGUAUUUCUGUUUGAGGGUCAGUAUUAAUAAAAAUCGGCGUGUUGUUUCUUUGUGAUGCUCCGGAGUUUGGGUCAUCUUAAUCUCCUUUAGGUUUUAAGAGGCUUAAAUUUCAUUUUUUUUGCGCAUUUUAGUUUAACAUUAAUUCUUUUUUUUUUUCGGCUUUUUUAUUUU
rnacentral:misc_RNA from 1 species